rnacentral:rRNA from 1 species
CCUACGGGUGGCUGCAGUGGGGAAUAUUGCACAAUGGGGGAGACCCUGAUGCAGCGACGCCGCGUGAGGGAAGAAGUAAUUCGGUAUGUAAAGCUCUAUCAGCAGGGAAGAAAAGGACGGUACCUGAGUAAGAAUCCCCGGCUAACUACGUGCCAGCAGCCGCGGUAAUACGUAGGGGGCAAGCGUUAUCCGGAUUUACUGGGUGUAAAGGGAGCGUAGACGGCAGUGCAAGUCUGGAGUGAAAGGCUGGGGCUCAACCCCAGGACUGCUAUGGAAACUGUACGGCUGGAGUGCAGUAGAGGUAAGUGGAAUUCCUAGUGUAGCGGUGAAAUGCGUAGAUAUCAGGAGGAACACCAGUGGCGAAGGCGGCUUACUGGACUGUAACUGACGUUGAGGCUCGAAAGCGUGGGGAGCAAACAGGAUUAGAUACCCCUGUAGUC